GAUGAACGCUGGCGGCGUGCCUAAUACAUGCAAGUCGAGCGAACAGAUGAGGAGCUUGCUCCUCUGACGUUAGCGGCGGACGGGUGAGUAACACGUGGAUAACCUACCUAUAAGACUGGGAUAACUUCGGGAAACCGGAGCUAUACCGGAUAAUAUAUUGAACCGCAUGGUUCAAUAGUGAAAGACGGUUUUGCUGUCACUUAUAGAUGGAUCCGCGCCGCAUUAGCUAGUUGGUAAGGUAACGGCUUACCAAGGCAACGAUGCGUAGCCGACCUGAGAGGGUGAUCGGCCACACUGGAACUGAGACACGGUCCAGACUCCUACGGGAGGCAGCAGUAGGGAAUCUUCCGCAAUGGGCGAAAGCCUGACGGAGCAACGCCGCGUGAGUGAUGAAGGUCUUCGGAUCGUAAAACUCUGUUAUUAGGGAAGAACAAAUGUGUAAGUAACUAUGCACGUCUUGACGGUACCUAAUCAGAAAGCCACGGCUAACUACGUG
rnacentral:rRNA from 1 species